rnacentral:rRNA from 1 species
GCGGAUGGAGCCGAAGCCAGUCGAAGAUACCAGCUGGCUGCAACUGUUUAAUAAAAACACAGCACUCUGCAAACACGAAAGUGGACGUAUAGGGUGUGACGCCUGCCCGGUGCUGGAAGGUUAAUUGAUGGGGUCAGCCGCAAGGCGAAGCUCUUGAUCGAAGCCCCAGUAAACGGCGGCCGUAACUAUAACGGUCCUAAGGUAGCGAAAUUCCUUGUCGGGUAAGUUCCGACCUGCACGAAUGGCGUAAUGAUGGCCAGGCUGUCUCCACCCGAGACUCAGUGAAAUUGAACUCGCUGUGAAGAUGCAGUGUACCCGCGGCAAGACGGAAAGACCCCGUGAACCUUUACUAUAGCUUGACACUGAACAUUGAACCUUGAUGUGUAGGAUAGGUGGGAGGCUUUGAAGUGUGGACGCCAGUCUGCAUGGAGCCGACCUUGAAAUACCACCCUUUAAUGUUUGAUGUUCUAACCUGGCCCCGUGAUCCGGGGUAGGGACAGUGUCUGGUGGGUAGUUUGACUGGGGCGGUCUCCUCCCAAAGAGUAACGGAGGAGCACGAAGGUUAGCUAAUCCUGGUCGGACAUCAGGAGGUUAGUGCAAAGGCAUAAGCUAGCUUGACUGCGAGAGUGACGGCUCGAGCAGGUGCGAAAGCAGGUCUUAGUGAUCCGGUGGUUCUGAAUGGAAGGGCCAUCGCUCAACGGAUAAAAGGUACUCCGGGGAUAACAGGCUGAUACCGCCCAAGAGUUCAUAUCGACGGCGGUGUUUGGCACCUCGAUGUCGGCUCAUCACAUCCUGGGGCUGAAGUAGGUCCCAAGGGUAUGGCUGUUCGCCAUUUAAAGUGGUACGCGAGCUGGGUUUAGAACGUCGUGAGACAGUUCGGUCCCUAUCUGCCGUGGGCGUUGGAAGAUUGAGAGGGGCUGCUCCUAGUACGAGAGGACCGGAGUGGACGCACCGCUGGUGUUCGGGUUGUGAUGCCAAUUGCAUUGCCCGGUAGCUACGUGCGGAAAAGAUAAGCGCUGAAAGCAUCUAAGCGCGAAACUUGCCUCGAGAUGAGUCUUCCCUUGGGCCUUGAG